AGUGAACGCUGGCGGCGUGCCUAAUACAUGCAAGUCGAACGGAGUGGCGCACGGGUGAGUAAUAUAUAGCUAAUCUGCCCCUUGCUGGAGGACACCAGUUAGAAAUGACUGCUAAUCCUCCUUAGCAAGGGAUGAGACUAUAUCGUAUCAGCUAGUCGGUGGGGUAACGGCCGACCGAGGCGAUGACGCGUAACUGGUCUGAGAGGAUGAUCAGUAAAAUUCGAAGUGAGACACGGUCCAGACACCUACGGGAAGCGGCAGUAGGGAAUAUUACGCAAUGGGGGAAACCCUGACGCGGCAUCGCGGCGUGGAGGACGACACUCUUCGGAGCAUAGACUCAUGUUGUUAGGUAAGCGGUACCUGACGAAUAAGCACCGGCUAACUCCGUGCCAGCAGCCGCGGUAAUUC
rnacentral:rRNA from 1 species